GAUGAACGCUAGCGGCAGGCCUAACACAUGCAAGUCGAGGGGUAGCAGGAUUAAGCUUGCUUAAUUGCUGACGACCGGCGCACGGGUGCGUAACGCGUAUGCAACCUACCUUAUACUGGGGUAUAGCCCGGAGAAAUUCGGAUUAAUCCCCCAUAGUACUAAUGAAUCGCAUGGUUUAUUAGUUAAAGCAUUGCGGUAUAAGAUGGGCAUGCGUCCUAUUAGCUAGAUGGUGAGGUAACGGCUCACCAUGGCUACGAUAGGUAGGGGGCCUGAGAGGGUGGUCCCCCACACUGGUACUGAGACCCGGACCAGACUCCUACGGGAGGCAGCAGUGAGGAAUAUUGGUCAAUGGGCGCAAGCUUGAACCAGCCAUGCCGCGUGCAGGAAGAAUGCCCUAUGGGUUGUAAACUGCUUUUAUUUGGGAAUAAACCUCUUUACGUGUAGAGAGCUGAAGGUACCAAAUGAAUAAGCACCGGCUAACUCCGUGCCAGCCGCCGCAGUAA
rnacentral:rRNA from 1 species